CUUUUCUUAUCACUGUCCUUAGAAAAAAAAAAUAGAGGGGCCCCUGGGUGGCUCAGUGGUUGAACAUCUGCCUUUGGUUCAAGUCAUGAUCCUGGGUCCUGGGAUCAAGUCCCACAUCAGGCACCCUGCAGGAAGCCUGCUUCUCCCUCUGCCUAUGUCUCAGCCUCUCUCUCUCUCUCUCUGUCUCUCAUGAAUAAAUAAAUAAAAUCUUUAAAAAGAAGAAGAAGAAAAAGAAGAAGAAGAAAUGGAGGGUGAGGGAAAAGUGGAAAAUUAUUUUCUCUUUUGAAAGUAUUCAAAAUGUCAUAGUAACCUUAAAAAUACAUAUCAUGUCUCAAGUCAAUAUUUCUUUACCUUACGUAUCUACCUAAGAAAAAGAGUAAGUGGGAUGAGCUUCUGUCCUAAUAACUCCUGUCAUUUUCCAUAGUGUGAGCCUCUAUCAUGUUCCUGUGUGAACCAGAGGGCAUAUACAAGAAGUAUCUCCUAGACAGCAGUAGGAGGACAUUCCAAACAACACACAAAUGUCCCAUGGAAGAGCCAGACAGUGUUAAUCAAGAUAGAACAAUAGUGGCACCAGUGACAAAAGGCUCUUGCUUCUCUUCAUCUACCUGAGAAAGGUUGAGACACCUCUGACACUAGCUGACUCUUCUUGCAGCGAGGUAUCCAUGAAGGCAACACACAAGGGCAAGAUUCAGGAGCCAGGCCAACAAACCAUAAGACACUGGUUACCUGCCUAUUGAAACCCAAGAAAGACAUUGUGUUGGCCUCUGAGGAAAAAUUCAUUCAAAUCCUGCCUCUCUCACUAUGGGACUCAUGACAAGUUACCUAGUCUCUUGUGCCUUGGAUUCAUUGCCUUUAAAAUGAGGAGAACACUAUUUCCUUGAGUUACUCUGAGGAACAAAUGAGUUUAAUAUGUAUAAAAUGCUUAAAACAGUGUUUUGUACUUAGAUUGCUAACCAUUAUUAUUAAUUAGAGCCAGGAAUGUCUCCUGUGUGGUGACUUAAAAUCAGUAGCAGGAUGGAUAAAUACAAACUUACUACAAAUUGCAGCUUUCAAGAAAACUUGACAAAUGUUUUAAAGAUUAUGAGAUCAAGAAUAAGAGUAGAACAUAAUUCCCUCUUUCACAUUAUAAGAAUGGUCAUAUGAAUACUGCCAGCUGGAGGAGAGAGGGUCACAGUAUCCACAAAUCUUAGUGAAAAUUAGUUUGAACCACCAUCACUCCCCUAAUUCCACAGUUUAUGGGAGUUUAAGCUCCAAUCCUACCCUAAGAACACCUUUUACAACUUAUGUGACCACCUGAGACUUCAGCCUCUUGCUUUUGAAGCUCAUCCCAUAUACCAUGUCAUAUUGACCUAGGCAAGAAAUAUAACCCUUUCUUCAAUUUAUAUUUACUCCUAUAGGCCAUUCAUGAAAUUAAUGGGCUUUGCUGGUAAUUUGGGGGGAAGAUGAAAGAGAGAUUUACUUUACAUCAGUGAAAACCACCUCCCUGGUCAAUAGAUACAGUCAUCCUGAACUGUCCUAUGACUCAGUCCUGUCCAAUAGAACUUUCUAUGAUAAUGGAAAUGCCCUACUUCUGCACCAUAUCUACAGUCAUUAUUAGGCACAUGUGGCUUUUGAACUCUUGAAAUGUGGCCAGUAUAACUGAGAAAUUGAAUUUUAGACUUAUUUAAUUUUAAUGUCUUUAAAUUUAAAUAAGCAUAUGUGGCUAGUGGUUACCAUGUUUAUAACAUAACCCAAGUCCCCUCCCCACAGCCUCAUGAGCUUUUCACCCCAUAGAGUCUCAGUCUCAGACUCUCUCCAUUUUUCUCACUCAUCUCAUCAUCCCUUAAUUCAUGCCAAGCAAUUCGUCCUUCUGCCAUGAUGCUGCAGCAUCUGCUGUAUCCACUGACAGACACAUCUUUGGAUCUAUACUUAUUAUGUGACUCUUGGCAAGUAACUUAAUCUCUUUUAACCUCAGAUUCAUUGCCUCUAAAAUGGGAAUAAUAAUAAUUACUAUCUCAUUGAGUUAAACUGGGAAUUAAAUAAGCUAAUACAUAUAAAGUGGAAUAUAUAUCCCAAAUGGGCUUAGCACCAGUCAUCCUAAGGAAAGUCAUUUUUAUACCUAAAAGGAAUCCUAAUGAUAAAUGUUAAGAACUAAAAUUUUCACCUUAUUACAUAAUUGUAGGUUGCACCAUCCAAUGCACUAGCCACUGGCCACAUACAGCGAUUUAAAUUUAACUUUUAAUUAAAGAAAAUUACCAUUCAGCUCUGCAGUUGCACUUACAUUUCAAGUAUUAGAUAACCCCACAUGGC
rnacentral:lncRNA from 1 species